AGCUGCUGCCAGCGCCAUGGCCCUCGCCGGCCGGGCGGCGCUGCGCUGGGGGACACGGCUGCCGAGCCCCUGUCCUGCCGCUGUCCCGCUCUGCAGCCCGGCCUGGCUGCCCGCGGCCAGGUGCGAGCGGCCCUGCAGCUCCCGCGGCAAGGAAAAAUUAGAUAUGUCGACAUAUCCUGUUGAAAGCAUUAGAAACUUCAGUAUUAUAGCUCAUGUAGAUCAUGGCAAGAGUACACUAGCAGACAGAUUGCUGGAAAUUACAGGAACAAUUUCUAAAACUGACCGUAACAAACAAGUGCUGGAUAAACUUCAAGUGGAACGUGAAAGAGGAAUUACAGUAAAAGCCCAAUCUGCAUCUCUCUUUUACAAUCAUGAAGGAAUAAACUACCUCUUAAAUCUUAUUGACACGCCUGGCCACGUAGAUUUCAGCUAUGAAGUAUCGCGGUCAUUGUCUGCCUGUCAAGGGGUCAUACUUGUAGUGGAUGCAAAUGAGGGUAUUCAGGCCCAGACAGUGGCGAACUUCUAUCUUGCCUUUGAAGCACAGCUUUCAAUAAUUCCUGUUAUAAAUAAGAUUGACUUGAAAAAUGCAGACCCUGAAAGAGUUGAAAAACAGAUUGAGAAGCUUUUUGAUAUCUCUAGAGAUGAAUGUAUAAGGAUUUCUGCUAAACAAGGAACAAACGUUGAAAAAGUUCUUCAAAAGGUCAUUGAGAAGAUCCCACCACCCCAAUGUAAUACUGCUGAUCCACUGAAAGCCUUAGUAUUUGACUCUACCUUUGACCACUACCGAGGUGUCAUAGCUAACAUUGCGCUCUUUGGUGGGGAGAUUGCAAAAGGACAGAAAAUUGUGUCUGCUCACACAAAGAAAAGAUACGAAGUUAAUGAAGUUGGAAUUCUGACUCCAAAUGAACAGCCAGCACAUAAGCUCUAUGCAGGACAGGUGGGGUACCUGAUUGCUGGAAUGAAAGAAGUAACGGAAGCCCAAAUAGGAGACACACUGUUUUUGUAUAAACAGCCAGUGGAGCCUUUGCCUGGCUUUAAGUCAGCGAAGCCAAUGGUUUUUGCAGGAAUGUAUCCAAUAGAUCAAACAGAAUAUAAUAAUCUCAAAAGUGCUUUGGAAAGGCUGACAUUGAAUGACUCCAGUGUAACUGUUCACCGUGACAGUAGCCUUGCCUUAGGAGCUGGCUGGAGAUUGGGUUUCCUUGGUCUUCUACAUAUGGAAGUCUUUAAUCAACGUUUGGAGCAAGAGUAUAACAUGUCUGUUAUUUUGACUGCACCUACGGUUCCAUAUAAAGCUGUUCUUUCCUCAGCAAAGUUGAUAAAGGAGUAUGGAAAAGACCAGAUUACUAUUAUCAACCCUGCUCAGUUUCCUGAUAAACUUUCAGUAUCGGAAUAUUUGGAGCCAGUUGUUCUUGGUACUAUUGUAACACCUCAUGAAUAUAUUGGGAAAAUAAUUACCUUAUGUCAGGAUCGUCGGGCAGUCCAGAAAGAUAUGCUGUACAUUGAUGAAAACAGGGUUAUGCUAAAAUACCUCUUUCCAUUGAAUGAAAUUGUGGUGGAUUUUUAUGAUGCUCUUAAGUCUCUGUCUUCUGGCUAUGCAAGUUUUGAUUAUGAAGAUGCAGGUUACCAAUCAGCAGACCUAAUCAAAAUGGAUAUUCUUGUGAAUGGAAAUCCAGUUGAAGAACUGGCAACUAUCAUACACAACUUCAGUACUGAAAUUCAUGGAAUUCUGUAACAGCAGAAGGCUGACAUAGGAAGAUAAAUCCCUUGCCUUGUUCAGAAGGAUCAUGGGGCUGAAGGGGAGUAACUGUCUUGCAUACAAUUGGUAGUUAAUGCAUUUUUCAUAAGCAUGCAGUGUUUAGCUAUCUACCUGCAUCUCCUACUCUGAAAAGAUGCAAAAUGGAGUGGGCCGCCUUGCACGAGUUAGUUAUUGCUUUAACAUGUAUUUUUUGAUCGAUUUAGCCCAUGCCCUGAACUAUUUAACUCACUAAAACUGGCAGCCUUUCUUUUGGCUUUAGAUUUCAGUUAGGGUUGUUUUUUGUUUUUUUUUUUUUUAAACUUGUAGUUGCAUUCAUUCUGCUCUUGUUGUAGGUAUUCUCAGUAUUCCCACUGUGAAAACUGCAUCUGUAAGAAUUACACUGAAUUACUUUUAUAAAGAAAGCAUUACAGAGAUUACAGUAAGAUCAGUAUUAAUAGUCAUCAUUUGUUCCUACUGUACAAGUAAAUAUAUGUACCUCUUCAAAAUGUAACACUCGAUGAACAUGACUAAAGUACUUCAUAUUUAAACUGUUUGCUCUAUACAGGUAGCAAAAGGAGUCACUUUGUCACUACCUGAAAAUGUGCAUGUUGGUAAAAAAUAUCUGUUAAAUUUGGGUAUUUUUAUAGAGAAUAUGGAGAACAGACCUAUUCCUUUCUAAUGGCUUAUGAAAGUAACUGUUGGUAGCUUCUUUAGACCUUUUGUUAUUUUCUUUUUCCAAAACCUGAAGCAUAUGCAGAUGCUGAAUAUGGUUGCAUAAUUUUUAUUAGCAGAUGAGUAUGUUAGUUUAUUUUUUUCUUGUGAUGUAAAACCAGACUUGGAAAGCAUUCUUUAAUAUGCAUACUUUGACCGCUUGGGCCUACGAUCAAUGAAAAUUCUCCUUGACCUAGUUUAAAAUUUCACUUGAAACUGUGGCAGUAUACAAAAUGUCUUCAGUGGCAUGAAUAGUCAGGGUGUUUUUUAUAAAUACUUUAUAUGAUGUUGUAUACUGAGGUAAAUACAGUCUUAUCACUUGGUAGUAUGAAAGAGAUGACAUACAGAGACCACUUAUUAGAUGUAAGAUUUGAUCUGAUCAGAUUAUCUUCCGAGUUAAGAAGAGGAAAGCCUCUACUAAAAUACUUCAGGUCAGUUUGAUCUAUGGAUAUAUUUUUAGUGUUGCUGACCUUUUAUUUCAGGGAUAAAGCACAUGCUGCUGGCAAACUCCUGUGUGAACGUUUAAAAGAGACUAUUCCUAGACAGUUGUUUGAAAUAGCCAUCCAGGCUGCCAUUGGCAAGAAAAUCAUUGCAAGAGAAACGCUGAAAGCUUACAGAAAAAAUGUGG